GCAUGGUAUCUCUACCCUCAUACAGUUCACAACUUCCAUGCUCAAGAUUGGGAUUUGUUGUUCUUUCUUUGUAUCAACACUUCCAUUUAUGAUUUAGCUUUAAAGAUGUUACAAGAUAAUCCGCUAUUAGCACUCGCUCGGAAUGAGAACAAGGAAACAGGGUUGCAUGUUUUGGCACGAAAAUCUUCUGCUUUUAGUUGUGAAGGUAGAAGGUAUCCAAAUCAGUUCAUUAACUCACGUAAGAAUCCAAGUUUGGCUCACCAACUUGUAAGGUGUCUUUGGGAUACUCUUGUUUCUCUUGAUUGCACAGAGAUACAAUUGAUACGAG
rnacentral:sRNA from 1 species